rnacentral:lncRNA from 1 species
AGGGGGAAUAAAUCCCUUUCAAUUCUUGCAUACAAAAAGUCAAUAUCCUAACUCAAAAAACUACAAAAAGUAUGCCACACUACUACACUUGCCAUGAUCUAAUUCUUCACCAUCAUUAGACAUAUCAUCAUUAUCAUCAGCCACGUCAUCUUCAUGAACUUGAUCUCUGGUAUAUGGCUUGGGCUGAAAGUUUAAGCUUUCGAACAAUUGUUUUACCAUAUCACGAAGUUCAUCCCUUUCCCUAAUGACACAAAUAUAAGGCUAAUUAAUAUUUAAAAUUAAGUAAAAUAAAAUGAAAUCAACAUAAAAAAAAUACUAUUUAAAGUUGAGAACUCAUUACAUAGACAUAUUCCGAUCUUCGAUCAACCCAAGUCUUAUUCUUG